GGGCCCUUAGCUCAGUUGGUUAGAGCACCCGACUCAUAAUCGGUAGGUCCCCAGUUCAAGUCUGGGAGGGCCCACCA
rnacentral:tRNA from 1 species